GCUAAGGAAAGAAUGUGUGCAGCUUUGGUUGCUCUCAAAAGACUUGAAUCUACUGGAUUCACCCACAAAACUCUCAGCUGCAAGUGAUCACUCAAUCUGGACAAACUCUGCUGAAACAGCUGCUGCUGCAGACUAUAGUGUGGCUGUCGCACACUAGCAACAACUCUGAUGCAGAACUGUCACGAAUUUCCUCAGCCAAAUGCCACCUUCUUUCGCUUAUCUCUCCUAUUUGAACCUUCUUUGAUGCUUCCACUUAUGGUAAUCCUUCUGAGUUAUAGUUCACCUAUCCAACAAACCAAUUAAUCACAGAAACUGCCACCACAAUUGCCAGAAAACUCACAUCAAAGUGACAACAACACCAGGACUUUUGUCAAACAGAUGGUGUGCAGAGUGUUAAAAGAUCAAAAAGCAAGCAAUUAAUGGGCUAUCAAUCACGGUGGCACUUCAAAAUGAUCUUAGGAUUAGCUCUAGAUCAGAUUUAAAACACAAGAAAAGACCAGAAACCAGAAUCAAGUACAAAUUAGCUAUGCAAAGAAAUUGCACUAAACUGUUUGUUGAAAUGUCUCAAUGAACUUGCAUUAAUUUUGACAGCAAAGUUCAAU
rnacentral:lncRNA from 1 species